rnacentral:rRNA from 1 species
CCUACGGGGGGCAGCAGUGGGGAAUAUUGCACAAUGGGGGAAACCCUGAUGCAGCAACGCCGCGUGAAGGAAGACGGUUUUCGGAUUGUAAACUUCUGUUCUUAGUGAAGAAAAAUGACGGUAGCUAAGGAGCAAGCCACGGCUAACUACGUGCCAGCAGCCGCGGUAAUACGUAGGUGGCAAGCGUUGUCCGGAAUUACUGGGUGUAAAGGGAGCGCAGGCGGGAAGCCAAGGCAGCUGUGAAAAUCACGGGCUCAACCUGGGGCCUGCAUUUGAAACUGU